rnacentral:rRNA from 1 species
AUUGAACGCUGGCGGCAGGCUUAACACAUGCAAGUCGAGCGAGCGGCGGACGGGUGAGUAAUGUCUGGGAAACUGCCUGAUGGAGGGGGAUAACUACUGGAAACGGUAGCUAAUACCGCAUACCAUCAGAUGUGCCCAGGUGGGAUUAGCUAGUAGGGGGGGAAAUGGCUCACCUAGGCGACGAUCCCUAGCUGGUCUGAGAGGAUGACCAGCCACACUGGAACUGAGACACGGUCCAGACUCCUACGGGAGGCAGCAGUGGGGAAUAUUGGACAAUGGGCGCAAGCCUGAUGCAGCCAUGCCGCGUGUGUGAAGAAGGCCUUCGGGUUGUAAAGCACUUUCGGCGGGGAAGCGUUACCCGAAGAAGAAGCACCGGCUAACUACGUGCCAGCAGCCGCGGUAAUUC